GCCGCCAAGAGUGAAGUAGCCGCCAUCUCACUCUCCUCGUUCUUUUCAGAUCCGACCAAGGCGCAACCCACUGCCGGCGACGCUGUGAGCGGCAAGGACCAUCGAGACAAGAUUUUUUUUAUGCCGUGAACAGCUUGUGCGGGCUGUGAACGACCGGAAUAGCGAUGGGCGCGGUGACUCUCUGCGUGGUUGUAACCGCUCGUUGUCCUUCUCCAUUCUUCUCCGGUUGUAGCUAUCGGACGUUCGUCUUGCUGCCGCCGCCGCCUAGUUCUUCAUUCCCCCCCAUUCCAGUCGUCAUCCGCCAACCCGAAGCAGCUGUUUUGGUGUGCUUGUGGGUCGAAAGCAUGGGGGUGUGGGCUGCAGUUGCUGUUCGUUUGUGAGGGCUCGUUUGGCUAGUGAAAACCCGUGAAGAGCCACCAUGGCGGCCAACCAUGGUGGUUGUCGCCGUCAUCGCCGCUUUUGCCGUUUUUCGGUGCCUUUACCGCCGCUGUAGGCCACCAAGGGGUGGCUGAGUUGCUUUGCGACCUCAUAGCGGUUCGGGAAUCUGUCAGCCAGCAGAUGGGGUGGAGUCUGCGGGACUUCAGCAGUGUGGGAUUGUGUCUGCGGGACUUCAGUAGUGUGAGGUGAGUUUCCUUCCAGUAGGAACGGGUCUACGGCCACAAUGCCGGCCCAUUUAGUUAGCAGUAGUUCCGGACUUCAGUCCGAUGCAGUAGUUCAGUAUGCUUGGUGUCUUUGUGAUACAGACAGGGUAUGAGUUAUGUGUUCCGGAGUAUGGUCCGAUGCAGUAUGCGGUAUAUGUGUUUAUAUUAUAUGCUAUGAUUAUGUUAUGCUAUGUUCAGUUAGUUUUGGACCUCGGUCCGAUGUAGUAGUUAGAGUGCUUGAUGUCUUGUGAUUCAAGCAUGUUUUGUGUUAUGUGUUCCGGACUCUGUUCCGAUGCAGGAUGCAGUAUAUGUAUUCACGCUAGUUGUUAUGUUUAUGUUAUGUUAUGUUCAGUCAGUUCCGGACUUCGGUCCGAUGCAGGGGACAAGGUCCCAAUCAGUUCCGGACUUCGGUCCGAUGCAGUUAGUUCCGGACUUCGGUCCGAUGCAGAGGGCAAGGCCCUGGUUAGUUCCGGACUCCGGUCCGAUGUAGUUUCUGGACUUCGGUCCGAUGCAGAGGGCAAGGCCCUGGUUAGUUUCCGGACUUCGGUCUGAUGCAGUGGGCAAGGCCCAGUAGAUGCUUUAUAUGUUAUUGUAUGGUAUGUGGUAGUUUGGGGGAGCUCACUAAGCUUCGUGCUUACGGUUUUCAGUUUUGGUUUCAGGUACUCAGUUUUUAAAAGAGGAGCUCGGGAAGAUUGUAGUGCACACACCAUUUGUUCAACCUGGGAUGUUUAUACUCUGAUAUAUUUGACAAUUGUUAAGAUACUUUGAGAUA